rnacentral:rRNA from 1 species
GGUGAACGCUGGCGGUAGGCCUAACACAUGCAAGUCGAACGGCAGCACAGUAAGAGCUUGCUCUUACGGGUGGCGAGUGGCGGACGGGUGAGGAAUACAUCGGAAUCUACUUUUUCGUGGGGGAUAACGUGGGGAAACUUACGCUAAUACCGCAUACGACCUACGGGUGAAAGCAGGGGAUCUUCGGACCUUGCGCGAUUGAAUGAGCCGAUGUCGGAUUAGCUAGUUGGCGGGGUAAAGGCCCACCAAGGCGACGAUCCGUAGCUGGUCUGAGAGGAUGAUCAGCCACACUGGAACUGAGACACGGUCCAGACUCCUACGGGAGGCAGCAGUGGGGAAUAUUGGACAAUGGGCGCAAGCCUGAUCCAGCCAUACCGCGUGGGUGAAGAAGGCCUUCGGGUUGUAAAGCCCUUUUGUUGGGAAAGAAAAGCAGCAGGUUAAUACCCCGCUGUUCUGACGGUACCCAAAGAAUAAGCACCGGCUAACUUCGUG